CAAAGUUUCACUUCCCUCAGCCGUAUGCCUGCAGGAGCAAGCUAGAGAGGAGUCUCCCAUUUCCAUAAAGUCGGCAUAUAGCCAAGCUCUUCUCACUGGAAGUGAAAGUGGGAGGCUCCCAAGAACGUGGUUUUCCCGUACUAGUUGUUGGUCCGCACUGGUGCUGCUGGGAGCAGGCGGGUGGACUUGACGCCGGCCUGAGCCCCCUUCCAGCCCUCUGUGCCGGGGCUCUCCGGGGACCGGCAAGUCGCGGCAGCCACGGCGUGCCCUGGAGGGGGCGCGCCGGCGGGCCAUCUCCUCAGGACGCCGUUACAGUUCACUUCCAGCACCAGCCCACUCCCUCUUUGAAGCUCAUCCUAAAUGGCCUGCCCAAGGACGUUCAGGCUCAAACAUUUAAGUGAACCCUCCAUCCCUCCACCCCGUCCUCCCUGAAUGCCAGGGCUUGGUAUAAAAUGGAAUCUAGUUCAGACCCAGGACAGAUUGAAGCAAUAAAACCAGAAGGCAAAACUGCUUCA
rnacentral:lncRNA from 1 species